GGCCGCCUGGCGAAAUGGCAUCGCGUCUGACUACGAUUGUGCAGGGUUACCUGUAAAUCCGGGAUCAGGAGAUUGCAGGUUCGACCCCUGCGGUGGUCA